UACGUAGGGGGCGAGCGUUGUCCGGAUUUAUUGGGCGUAAAGAGCGUGUAGGCGGCCAGGUAGGUCUGCUGUGAAAACUCGAGGCUCAACCUCGAGACGUCGGCGGAAACCAUCUGGCUAGAGUCCGGAAGAGGAGAGUGGAAUUCCUGGUGUAGCGGUGAAAUGCGCAGAUAUCAGGAGGAACACCGAUGGCGAAGGCAGCUCGCUGGGACGGUACUGACGCUGAGGCGCGAAAGCGUGGGGAGCGAACAGG
rnacentral:rRNA from 1 species